UACGGAGGGUGCAAGCGUUAAUCGGAAUUACUGGGCGUAUAGCGCACGCAGGCGGUUUAUUAAGUUUGAUGUUAAAACCCCGGGCUUAACCUUGGUAUGGCAUCUAAGACUGGUUGGCUAGAGUCUUGUAGAGGGGGGGAGAAUUCCCAGUGUAGCGGUGAAAUUCGUAGAGAUUGGGAAGAAAACCGGUGGCGAAAGCGGCCCCCUGGACAAAGACUGACGCUCAGGUGCGAAAGCGUGGGGAGCAAACAGG
rnacentral:rRNA from 1 species